rnacentral:ncRNA from 1 species
UAAAAAUUUUUAUAGUUUAGUAAGUUUAUUUUAAGUUUAUUUUACAUAUAAAUUUUAGUGUUGAAAUUAAUUUAUUUUAAUAAUAAUUUAAUUAUUUAUUUAGUAAUUAAUAUUAAAAUAUUUAAGAAAUUAAUAUUUAGUAAUAUUUGAAUUAAUAACUAAUUUUGUGCCAGCAGUUGCGGUUAAACAAAGAUUAAAUUAAAUUUUAUUAGUUAAUUAAUAAAUAAUUUUUUUUUAAUAAUAUAAAUUUUAAAUUAUUAGGUGAAAUUUUAAUUUAAUAAAAUAUUAUUUUAAUAUUAUGAUUUAAUAAAUUUUAAUAAAAACUAGGAUUAGAUACCCUAUUAUUAAAAUAAUAAAUAAAAAUACUAAAAUAGUAAUUAAUUAUUUAUUGAAACUUAAAUAAUUUGGCGGUAUUUUAGUUCAUUUAGAGGAAUCUGUUUAAUAAUUGAUAAUCCACGAAUAAAUUUACUUAAUUUAAAAUUUUGUAUAUCGUUGUUAUAAAAAUAUUUUUUAAUAAUAAUAAUAUUUAAAAAUUAUAAGAAAAAUUAAAUCAGAUCAAGAUGCAGAUUAUAAUUAAGAAUAUAAUGGAUUACAAUAAAUUUAUUUAGAUGAAUAUUAAUUUGAAAAAAUUAAUUGAAAUUGGAUUUAAAUGUAAUUUUAUUUAGUUUAAUAAAAUGAUUAAAAAUUGAAAUAUGUACAUAUUGCCCGUCGCUUUCAUAUAAAAAUAAGUUGAAAUAAGUCGUAACAAAGUAGAGGUACUGGAAAGUGUUUCUAGAAAGAC